rnacentral:rRNA from 1 species
UACGUAGGGGGCAAGCGUUGUCCGGAUUUAUUGGGCGUAAAGAGCGUGUAGGCGGCUAGGUAGGUCCGUUGUGAAAACUCGAGGCUCAACCUCGAGACGUCGAUGGAAACCAUCUAGCUAGAGUCCGGAAGAGGAGAGUGGAAUUCCUGGUGUAGCGGUGAAAUGCGCAGAUAUCAGGAAGAACACCCGUGGCGAAAGCAGGUACCUGGACCAUUACUGACGCUCAGCUGCGAAAGCUAGGGGAGCAAGCAGG